AUUGAACGCUGGCGGCAGGCUUAACACAUGCAAGUCGAGCGGGGAAGAGUAGCUUGCUACUUAACCUAGCGGCGGACGGGUGAGUAAUGCUUAGGAAUCUGCCUAUUAGUGGGGGACAACAUCUCGAAAGGGAUGCUAAUACCGCAUACGUCCUACGGGAGAAAGCAGGGGACCUUCGGGCCUUGCGCUAAUAGAUGAGCCUAAGUCGGAUUAGCUAGUUGGUGGGGUAAAGGCCUACCAAGGCGACGACCUGUAGCGGGUCUGAGAGGAUGAUCCGCCACACUGGGACUGAGACACGGCCCAG
rnacentral:rRNA from 1 species